GACGAACGCUGGCGGCGUGCCUAAUACAUGCAAGUUGAGCGCUGAAGGUUGGUACUUGUACCAACUGGAUGAGCAGCGAACGGGUGAGUAACGCGUGGGGAAUCUGCCUUUGAGCGGGGGACAACAUUUGGAAACGAAUGCUAAUACCGCAUAAAAACUUUAAACACAAGUUUUAAGUUUGAAAGAUGCAAUUGCAUCACUCAAAGAUGAUCCCGCGUUGUAUUAGCUAGUUGGUGAGGUAAAGGCUCACCAAGGCGAUGAUACAUAGCCGACCUGAGAGGGUGAUCGGCCACAUUGGGACUGAGACACGGCCCAAACUCCUACGGGAGGCAGCAGUAGGGAAUCUUCGGCAAUGAACGAAAGUCUGACCGAGCAACGCCGCGUGAGUGAAGAAGGGUUUCGGAUCGUAAAACUUUGUUGGUAGAGAAGAACGUUGGUGAGAGUGGAAAGCUCAUCAAGUGACGGUAACUACCCAGAAAGGGACGGCUAACUACGUG
rnacentral:rRNA from 1 species